rnacentral:rRNA from 1 species
AUUGAACGCUGGCGGCAUGCCUUACACAUGCAAGUCGAACGGCAGCACGGGUGCUUGCACCUGGUGGCGAGUGGCGAACGGGUGAGUAACACGUGGGUGAUCUGCCCUGCACUUCGGGAUAAGCCUGGGAAACUGGGUCCAAUACCGGAUAGGACCCUGGGAUGCAUGUCCUGGGGUGGAAAGCUUUUGCGGUGUGGGAUGGGCCCGCGGCCUAUCAGCUUGUUGGUGGGGUGAUGGCCUACCAAGGCGACGACGGGUAGCCGGCCUGAGAGGGUGACCGGCCACACUGGGACUGAGACACGGCCCAGACUCCUACGGGAGGCAGCAGUGGGGAAUAUUGCGCAAUGGGCGAAAGCCUGACGCAGCAACGCCGCGUGCGGGAUGACGGCCUUCGGGUUGUAAACCGCUUUCAGCAGGGAAGAAGCCGCAGGGUGACGGUACCUGCAGAAGAAGCACCGGCUAACUACGUGCCAGCAGCCGCAGUAA